GGCCUUCUUUCUUCCCGUCUCUGUUCUGCAGCCACAAACACAGCCUGGCUGGGCAUGGACAUGGGUGAGCCCCCGUUCCACCGGUCAGUUCUUCUAACACCUCAGGCUGGGGCCCACUUUUGUCCCAAGGCUGAGCCGGCCCUUUGGCCCAGGCAGGAGGCCCCAGAGCCCCGGCUUGGCCCGUGAGAGCUCUGGGAAACCUUGUUCCCACUUGCCCACCCCCUUCCUGGCAGCCCAAGAGGCUGCCCAGGCUUUUCUUUCCUCUUCUUACUGGCAGGAAGAAUUUCUGGAAGCACGGCUGAACCAGUGACAAUGAAGCAGGAUGCCCGUCACCCUUACCAGCCUGGCCGCACAGGGAGAGCACACUCACCCCCCACCCCCCCAGGGCUGGGGCUCACAGAGGAAUUUCCUGAGGGGAGGGGACCGAGUAUUCCGGAAUGAGAGCCAGCUGUGGAAUUGAGGCCUGGGAGUGAGGAGCCGGGCUCGGGGCUUCCUGGCUGAGUCAGCGACCGUCCCCAGCUUUGCUCCCUUGCCUGGAGUCUGCAAAAGCCACAAGCCAGAGGGAGGAGCCAGAAGAUGGAUACAAGGCUGCAGAAGGGGAGAAGCCUCUGGCCGGCCCUGGGGGCUCAGGAAGAUAGAGGAGGCCAGGCUGCAAAGGCCCUUUCUCCUCAGACCUGGGGCACUGUCGCCACCAGCGCCUUCUAGAGGAAGCAUCCACAGGAGCCCAGGACUCUACUUUGAUUCUCCAGCCACAAACCCCUGCAGGCCUGGCUGGCCAGAGGCGUGCCUGUGCAUCCCGGGAAGCAAGCGCCUGGGGACUCAGGGCCGGAGAGGCUGUGAGGAUGGCUUUGUGCGGCCGUUCAGAUUUUAUCUCUUCAGGAUUCCAGAGCACAAGACAAAUGGCUUCAUGUCCGGCAAGGAGGUGUAAUUCAUCCUCUGAGCAGAGCAAGUCUAAGAAACCUGGGAAGACGUACCAGAUGGUGUUACUAAACCCAGAGGGAAGAAAACAGGAACAGAAACGCAGUGCCUGGAAGAACUAUGAAACCACCAGGUUUCUCCACGCAAGGGUGUGCAGUCCCACCUCCGCUCUCAGGUGGGACCCACAAUGACAUAGAGGGAGAGAACGCUAGUCCUCGGUCCAGGCGCCCCCAAGCCACAGUACUCAUUUCAGAGGACUUAACGCCUUACGCACAUAAAGGCUCCCAGGAGCUAAGAAGCUUCCAGACUUGAAAAGUAAAUGAAUUUACUUGGUAUGCCCAAGUUUUUCUUAACAUCAUUGCACCCACUAUCUGCCCAAACGAAGGCAUGAUAGGGAAUCAGUGAAUUAUUAAAAAUCACUGAUCACAUUGAAAAAUGGGUGGCUCAGGGGCACCUGGGUGGCUCAGUCGUUAAGCGUCUGCCUUCGGCUCAGGUCAUGAUCCCAGGGUCCUGGG